GGUUAAGCGACUAAGCGUACACGGUGGAUGCCCUGGCAGUCAGAGGCGAUGAAGGACGUGCUAAUCUGCGAUAAGCGUCGGUAAGGUGAUAUGAACCGUUAUAACCGGCGAUUUCCGAAUGGGGAAACCCAGUGUGAUUCGUCACACUAUCAUUAACUGAAUCCAUAGGUUAAUGAGGCGAACCGGGGGAACUGAAACAUCUAAGUACCCCGAGGAAAAGAAAUCAACCGAGAUUCCCCCAGUAGCGGCGAGCGAACGGGGAGCAGCCCAGAGCCUGAAUCAGUGUGUGUGUUAGUGGAAGCGUCUGGAAAGGCGUGCGAUACAGGGUGACAGCCCCGUACACAAAAAUGCACAUACUGUGAGCUCGAUGAGUAGGGCGGGACACGUGGUAUCCUGUCUGAAUAUGGGGGGACCAUCCUCCAAGGCUAAAUACUCCUGACUGACCGAUAGUGAACCAGUACCGUGAGGGAAAGGCGAAAAGAACCCCGGCGAGGGGAGUGAAAAAGAACCUGAAACCGUGUACGUACAAGCAGUGGGAGCACGCUUAGGCGUGUGACUGCGUACCUUUUGUAUAAUGGGUCAGCGACUUAUAUUCUGUAGCAAGGUUAACCGAAUAGGGGAGCCGAAGGGAAACCGAGUCUUAACUGGGCGUUAAGUUGCAGGGUAUAGACCCGAAACCCGGUGAUCUAGCCAUGGGCAGGUUGAAGGUUGGGUAACACUAACUGGAGGACCGAACCGACUAAUGUUGAAAAAUUAGCGGAUGACUUGUGGCUGGGGGUGAAAGGCCAAUCAAACCGGGAGAUAGCUGGUUCUCCCCGAAAGCUAUUUAGGUAGCGCCUCGUGAAUUCAUCUCCGGGGGUAGAGCACUGUUUCGGCAAGGGGGUCAUCCCGACUUACCAACCCGAUGCAAACUGCGAAUACCGGAGAAUGUUAUCACGGGAGACACACGGCGGGUGCUAACGUCCGUCGUGAAGAGGGAAACAACCCAGACCGCCAGCUAAGGUCCCAAAGUCAUGGUUAAGUGGGAAACGAUGUGGGAAGGCCCAGACAGCCAGGAUGUUGGCUUAGAAGCAGCCAUCAUUUAAAGAAAGCGUAAUAGCUCACUGGUCGAGUCGGCCUGCGCGGAAGAUGUAACGGGGCUAAACCAUGCACCGAAGCUGCGGCAGCGACGCUUAUGCGUUGUUGGGUAGGGGAGCGUUCUGUAAGCCUGUGAAGGUGUGCUGUGAGGUAUGCUGGAGGUAUCAGAAGUGCGAAUGCUGACAUAAGUAACGAUAAAGCGGGUGAAAAGCCCGCUCGCCGGAAGACCAAGGGUUCCUGUCCAACGUUAAUCGGGGCAGGGUGAGUCGACCCCUAAGGCGAGGCCGAAAGGCGUAGUCGAUGGGAAACAGGUUAAUAUUCCUGUACUUGGUGUUACUGCGAAGGGGGGACGGAGAAGGCUAUGUUGGCCGGGCGACGGUUGUCCCGGUUUAAGCGUGUAGGCUGGUUUUCCAGGCAAAUCCGGAAAAUCAAGGCCGAGGCGUGAUGACGAGGCACUACGGUGCUGAAGCAACAAAUGCCCUGCUUCCAGGAAAAGCCUCUAAGCAUCAGGUAACAUCAAAUCGUACCCCAAACCGACACAGGUGGUCAGGUAGAGAAUACCAAGGCGCUUGAGAGAACUCGGGUGAAGGAACUAGGCAAAAUGGUGCCGUAACUUCGGGAGAAGGCACGCUGAUACGUAGGUGAAGCGACUUGCUCGUGGAGCUGAAAUCAGUCGAAGAUACCAGCUGGCUGCAACUGUUUAUUAAAAACACAGCACUGUGCAAACACGAAAGUGGACGUAUACGGUGUGACGCCUGCCCGGUGCCGGAAGGUUAAUUGAUGGGGUUAGCGCAAGCGAAGCUCUUGAUCGAAGCCCCGGUAAACGGCGGCCGUAACUAUAACGGUCCUAAGGUAGCGAAAUUCCUUGUCGGGUAAGUUCCGACCUGCACGAAUGGCGUAAUGAUGGCCAGGCUGUCUCCACCCGAGACUCAGUGAAAUUGAACUCGCUGUGAAGAUGCAGUGUACCCGCGGCAAGACGGAAAGACCCCGUGAACCUUUACUAUAGCUUGACACUGAACAUUGAGCCUUGAUGUGUAGGAUAGGUGGGAGGCUUUGAAGUGUGGACGCCAGUCUGCAUGGAGCCGACCUUGAAAUACCACCCUUUAAUGUUUGAUGUUCUAACGUGGACCCGUGAUCCGGGUUGCGGACAGUGUCUGGUGGGUAGUUUGACUGGGGCGGUCUCCUCCUAAAGAGUAACGGAGGAGCACGAAGGUUGGCUAAUCCUGGUCGGACAUCAGGAGGUUAGUGCAAUGGCAUAAGCCAGCUUGACUGCGAGCGUGACGGCGCGAGCAGGUGCGAAAGCAGGUCAUAGUGAUCCGGUGGUUCUGAAUGGAAGGGCCAUCGCUCAACGGAUAAAAGGUACUCCGGGGAUAACAGGCUGAUACCGCCCAAGAGUUCAUAUCGACGGCGGUGUUUGGCACCUCGAUGUCGGCUCAUCACAUCCUGGGGCUGAAGUAGGUCCCAAGGGUAUGGCUGUUCGCCAUUUAAAGUGGUACGCGAGCUGGGUUUAGAACGUCGUGAGACAGUUCGGUCCCUAUCUGCCGUGGGCGCUGGAGAACUGAGGGGGGCUGCUCCUAGUACGAGAGGACCGGAGUGGACGCAUCACUGGUGUUCGGGUUGUCAUGCCAAUGGCACUGCCCGGUAGCUAAAUGCGGAAGAGAUAAGUGCUGAAAGCAUCUAAGCACGAAACUUGCCCCGAGAUGAGUUCUCCCUGACCCUUUAAGGGUCCUGAAGGAACGUUGAAGACGACGACGUUGAUAGGC
rnacentral:rRNA from 1 species